rnacentral:misc_RNA from 1 species
ACAUAUGCAUUAAGCUGAAUAAUUGGCUACAAUCUAAUUAUUUUUUUUAGCUUAUUCUUAAAAAUCAAAUUCACUUGUUCGUUCAACAUAACAAAAAAAAAGCCCAAAAGAUUGUGGCAUCAAAUGAGAAAUGUGAAAAUCUUUCUCCUCCAGGCAUAGCUAAGUCAUCUCAAAUCAAAACUCAAGGGACAAAUUUUAACACUCACCUCAAGUAAAAGUAAAUGGCAAA